rnacentral:lncRNA from 1 species
UGGGGCCUUUGAGCCAUGGUUUGUAAUUCUUGAACAAGUGGGCUUUUGUCCCCGUAUGAUUUUUAUGACAAUUCCGGGCAGAUGCCCUUUUUAUUUAUCUAAGCUUGUUUAUAAUUGCUCGUCUAUAUCUGCUCGUAUGUACGUUUACAUUUUCUGCUCGCGUGUAUGUUUCCUCCUUUUUAACUUAGAAAAUUUUUGGAGAAAUUUGUUGUUUAA